AUAAUAUGGUUAUCGUUACUAUAUCCUGUAUGGCACAGAUUACAUACUAGUUUACAACCUCUUUACUGUGGUAUCAUCUUCUUAAUCAUCCAUGUUACUUUCUGGAGACAGUGUCCUGCAUAGCAAAGUGCAGGCAGAGCUGUUUCUGGUGAAUGCAAGCAAACUGAAACUCUGCUGUGUAGCAGCUCUGGGCACAUUUCAAGGACUUCAGCAGGUAUCUGCCAGAUGCUCUACUUCACUCGUUUUUGUUGUUGCUCUAUCAGCAUCCUGUUUUUUCAGAAAUGUGGGACUACUGCAAGCUGCCCCUCAGACACUGGUGAAGGAACAUUAGUUACUGCGGUGCCUUCUAAUUUCAAAACUGGAAUACUGUAGUUUUCUCCUUAAUGGACUUCUAGACUCUACUUUGUGGAGAUUAAAGUGAAUUAAAAAAGCUCUGCAAGAAAUCUUUUAUGGACACCAAAUUUUGCACUCGCAUUAAACCUGUUCUCAAAUCACUCCCCUGACUCCCUGCUGAUAUUUUUUUCAGAACGAUUGAUCUUAUUAAAAGGCAUUAACACUUUUUUAAUCCUAUCAUCAAAUUAAUCCUGUUGAUAUCAGUAUCUUUGUAAUGAAAUACUGAAAAAAAUAAAACCGUAAUUUGGCCUUUUCAGAUUUUCAGUGCAGCUAAACUGACAUGCUGAAUUGUACCAGCCCUCAUGCUGUCAAGAGAUGCCCUGGAAAAGCUCUUAGCCCUGAUUAUCCAUUGGAACAAUGGCUGUGUCUCUAAUUUUAGACAGCUGCAAGCAGGGUGACUCUCUGUGAAGAAGCAGGACAUUUUGUGCUGCAUUCCCUUCUCAGGAACAUGAACUCUUCUCCGCCUGCUUAAAGCCCUGCUGUUUACAAGCCUGAGAUCUUCCUGUAAACAUGUGCUUCUGCAUCGUGAAUGGCUUCAGCCUGUAGCACUGUCCUAUUCACAAGCACCAGUACUGUAUCACCUCUCUCAGCACUCAGUGCCCUGCUGUUCGCACCUCUUAAAUUCUUUUAUGUAAAAGCUGUGGUGUCUGACUGUAAGUCCUGUACUGCUGCCCUCUCCCAGAGAAUGCUUCAUGCUAGCAUAUACAUUUUUUCUGGAUAACAUUUUUUUUUUCUCAGAAAUUUAGAAUAUAAAUGCUCACUGAGAGCACAACUCCUAAAUCAAUGGUGUAUUAUCGAUGGGAGUUAAGUAUUCAUAAAAAUACUGUUGUCAGACAAGAUUUUGUACAGCAGCUGCUAACUAGAUGGGAAAAAAUUGAAACUGUGAAUAAUUUGUUAUCUACAUAUCCCUUAUGACUGAACUGCACACCUGUAACUGAGGACACUUCUUGUAAUACUGCUUUUAAGUGGAAAAGUUACUGAAUAUAGGAAAAAAAAUCCUGAAGUACCUUAAUCAUAAAAGAAGCUGAGUAUAGUUUGGAAGAGGGGAUAUGUAAAAUACUUAUUUAAAAAAAAAAAAAAGAAGAGAAAACUCCUGUGCUGAAGUUUCAAAACCCAAAUGAGCAUUGUGUGUGGAGGUAAAGCAUUCCCAGAGGCAAAUGCUGCAAGAAUAUUAUUCUUGUCAUUUUCUAUUCAUUUCCAUUACCUUGAUUUUAAAAUUGGCUCUUGUAAAAUCUAUACCUUUCAAGCUGUAUCUGCAGUGUGCUGCUAUGUGUAGUGUUGCAUCAUACCAGGGCAGGCUGUGCUUUGCUCUCUUCCAGGUGGAAGAUAGGCCAUUCCUGGCACUGUUUUAAAUUGCUCUGUCCACCUAAUGGAAGUAGAUGUUCGUGUCUCUUAGCGACCCACUCAUUGUCUUCUGUUGUGAUUCUUCAAUUUCUAGAGCAUAUUUUGGGCAUUGCUGUUACGCAACCAUCUGGUAGCUCUUGAAUUUAUGGAAUCUGCCAGGGGGACAUGUGCUGACAUUCAAAAAGAGAGUAAAAGACUGUUAACCAAAAUAGUAUCCCUCUUGUUUAAUAGUUAAUAGUUGGCUUGUAGUUCUCGCAUCAGGAAGUUCAUUUUUAGAAGUAAAAACCAAACUCAAAAAUGUCAUAAAAUCUUCUGUACUUCAUCAAGCUUUGCUCCAUCUGCUGGUUGACCUGCUUUCCUAUGGAUAUUCCUACCAUCAAACAGACACACACUAAUCUUUUUAUGCAGUAAAACCUCUCUUCUACAAAUUGGUGGUGCAAACCCUUGGACUGUGCAUAAAUGAAGCUACACAUAUUAUCUAUUUGCCUUUUGAUACAAAGGUUUUAAACAUAUCCCAUUAGGGUUUCCAUCAGAUGGAGUCUUGCAGCUGGUGCUUCCACCCCCUGUGCCAGAUGCAGCAUCUCCAUCUCCCCACAUGCAGGUGUUGUGGCAGAUCUUUUCUCUUUCCUUGUUGACAGCAACCCCCAGUCACCACAAAAUACUCAUCUCACUUAUUUCCAGCCUUUGGAAGGAAGGUGAAAAGGAGGGAGAAGAAAGCGGCAUUACAGAAAACAGCAGAAGAAAUAACUUCAUGAAAAUGAUACCAAGAGAUCUAUAAAACUGGAAAGACCUAAAGGUCCUGUUCCUAAUCAAUAACACCCUCAAGAUAAAUACAAUGCAAAAGACAGGGGAAUUAUACAGCAUCUGAGAUGGAGAGAAGAAUGAGAGCCUGAGGCAAAUGCAGAAAAAGUUUAGUAUAAAUAUUAGGCCAAGUUCUCAAUAGUAUGGUGAUUUGUGAAAAAUCAUUUGUGAAAUUGUGUCUGUGAUGUGCAAUGUUUUGGUAAAAACACAAAAUUCACUCUUGAAUGCAUUUAGAAAAAGGAUCAUGUCACAGCAAAACGCUGGGGUUCUCCAUCAUCCUGUGCUCAAACUCAUAGCCUUAAUAUGCAGGAUAAUGUUUCUCCUUACAGGGUAUAGAGGAAAGCUGCUUUUUCCAGCAAAGAGCAGGAUAAGUUUUGGGAGAUGCAGUUGAAUAUAGCAUAUUAAAUACACAACUGAAGCUUGGAAUAAUGUGUUUUUUGAUACAAAGUUUGGGAAUGCUCCUGCUGCGGUGAUGGGCUUUGUGAAGAGUGUGAUGCACCUGGUGGAAGCUGCAGUUCUCCUACUGAAAUACACUGGAAAGCCACAGUGUUGUGUUAGUCAAACAGGUUAAGUAUAGCCUGGAAUUUUCAGGCUUAAGAGAUAGACAAAAUGAAAAAGAAAAAUGUUAAUUUCAGUGUUUUCAAUGAAAACCUUUCCUGUUCUUAGGUCAUUCAACCUGUUUCAUCCAUACAAAAAUCACUGUGCAUGGUAUGCAGAAUGGAAGACAUAUAUAAAAAUAAAAAAAUAAUUUUUUUGGCUAAUAUUAACAGAUGUUAGCCCACAUCAUGUGACUUUCUGUAGCCUGAUGUAAUGCUCUGUGUUUAGGGUCAAGGAACAAUUUGUGGAGGGAUUGCUCUUUUUUCCCCAAUGAACACAGUGAAGAAGCAGGGAAAAUACUGGGGACUACUGGUAGAGUAAUUUUCUGUUCCUCUCUUAUAUAUUGUCCAUUGAGGAUGGAAAUCCCUGUGCUGCAUUUCUGUGGUGGUAUGUGGGGGAGAGCAGGCAGGUGAGAGGGAGGCGUCUGCUGUGCAGAAGGCUUUCAUCCCAUAGAGUGUCAGCAUCUGCAGUGGCUUUACCUGGGCUCUGCUUUCUGUUGCAGUCUAGGGAGUUGCCAGGAGAGGGGGGGAGAAUGGGGAAAAACAAAGUUAGGUUUAUAAAGCAGAUUUGUCUCGUGAGUGAGGAGCAACGGUGAUGUAUCAGUGAAAGUACCAGGCCUUGGCUAUAGGGCUGUACAUCCUCAACUGCAUGUUAAAGAUUAAGGGAAGUCUCCAAUAGCCCAAACUGCCAGUCUCCCUGCAUGUAUUUCUGUGAACACUGGCUUAUGCCACAGGUUCGGGUGAUGCUGUUUCUUGUUUACACAACCACUGGCUUCUUGGAGCAUCUGCCUUUUACUCUCACCAUGAUUAAAUUGUACAGGAAGAACAUGUGUUUCUCAAAUCUCCCUGCAGCCCUUUGGAUAUGACUGUUUUGACAGGGGGAGGAGAGGGUGCACAUGAAAGUGUGCAGUUCUGAGUUUGUUCUUUUUGGUGCUUUCAUAUUGCAAAGAUCAAUAAUUUACCUCCUGUCAGGUGAAACCAGUAGAUUAGUUGCAUUAAUUUUUGAAUGCUUUCAUAGUGUGUGUAAAUUGAUCUUACCUUGCCGAAGUCAUGUUUGCAGCCCUGCCGUACUUUGGUGGCAGGAGAGCUGAGCUGUGCUGGCUAAAUGUACGACUUAAAAAGCACUAUAUGUGAAUAAACAUAGCUGUUAUAACAGGAGGCAGGGAAUCAUCAACAAACUGGUGGUUUGAUGGGGCUGGGCACUGUUUUAGUUUAGGUUGCUUAUUGGAUUUUUCACCCAAGGUAAUGUUUCAUAGUCAUUUGUUGUUUUCUUCUCAAAUAGACCUUCUGCUCUUGGUUUUAGCUCAUCAUCUAUACAUACACCACAGAGCUUUAGAAUUAUUUCCAGUGCUCUCAAAAUGGCCAGUCAGCCCUUACCCAGCUUUGUAUGAUUGCCAGUGCUUCUUGUAUAUGACAGGGGUGCAGAAAUGCUGUGCUAAUGUUCGGGGGGGUAUGUUUUCAGCUGAACCCAGAGCAAGUGGUGCUGCUUGUCCUGGGCAUCUUGGUGCAGUGGCACUGUGGUGGCUGAGGUACUGUGUGUGUUUGACCUGGUGGGCACUCAGUGGGUCUCAGUCUCCUCCUGCUUCUGCCUUGCUGCCCAGUGCAGGGAAAUGGUUUCAAGUGCCUCUGACUCCUCCCAGCUGGCUAUCUGGCUCUCUGCAUGUAGGUUUGGGCUCAUCCAGUGGGCUCCUGGCACUGAGGAGCAGUCACUGUAGGAGGGGAGUGAUGCCUGCCCAGCAGUAUCUUUGUGUGGAGCAGAAGUCCUUCACAAAGGCAUUUUUGCUCCAUUAUCCCUCUGCAAAUGCUAUGCUUGGUAGAUAUUAUAGUGCCACCUAAAAUGUUGCUUACUUACAUUACCCUGAAAAAAUGCUGGUGAUAAUCACCUACCAGCAGGCAGUGGUUCCCUCUGUGUUGAGAGGCAUCAAUUGCCUGCUGCAGCACUGCUCCCCUCGACAGCACAGGAACUGCCCUUGGCCCACGGCACUGCUCUCUGUGCUACUGUGAAUAGAUGUAAUUCUCUGAUCACAUCUCUCAUUUGUGCAUUGAUUUUGAACUAAUGAUGUGUUUGUGUGUGCAUACCUGGGGGGGUGGGGGGGGGAAAGGAAGUACUAGAACUCCUCCUUCAUUUUGGACUGUAUAGCUCAGAGCUGCUGUGGAGGUACUGCAUGUAGCACUGCUGCUGUGCUUGGGUUUUUAUGAAGUCUUUGGAAAGAUUUAAUUAAAACUGUUUUCUCGAUUUCAUCUUCUGCAGAAAUGGUCUUUUAAAGGUUCUACCCAUGGGCUAUUGUUUAUCCAAUUUAAGGUAUUUAAAUGCAGAAUAUUAUUCUGGUGUAUUUAUUCUGUAGAAAUCUAGGCUUAAUUUUUUGCCUAAACAGUUCGGUGUUAUGUGGAGGAGAUGCAGUCCACGUUCUGCAACUGCUAUGAGAGGUGAGAUUGAAAUGAGUUUGACUGUCUUCUGCAUUUUAUCUAAAGCCUGCAGGUAACUUGGCCUUGUUGUGUCUGAACAUCAUAAGUAUAUAUUAUUUUUCUAUUAAAACAUUUUCAUACAUAUCACUGUCAUUUAUAUUGUUCUGUAUUUAACUAAAAUAUGUUUUCCUCCUUGAUAUUUUCUCUAGUUGUGGUCACUGUGCUUCUAUUCAGUUUUUCUAUACAAGCUAUUCACUCAAUCUCUAGUGCUUGCUUUCAGGGUUUGUUUAUGAAUUGAAUAUUGUGAUGUUUCUAGGUGUUCCCACAAGUGCAACAUGAAGGCUUACCUGUUGCAUUUCCAUUUCACCAGCACUCAGAUUCCCCAAGUUUCUCAAAUCACAGCUGACGAUUCAGCCAAACCAUGAAGUUACCUGUGCUGGUGCUGUAAUGAAAACACCCACUGCUCUCCUGUGCUGGAAAUCCCAUUGACAGACUCGGUUACCCACAGCUCUUUUCCCCAUACAUCAUCCUGGUUUCACAGACUCCUCUGCUUCAGGGAAUUUCUCACCACAAACACAACUGACUUUCCCUACUGAAAAUUGAGCCCCAGCAAAUAUCUUACAUGGUCAAUUCUGUUCACCCACAAAAUAUGACUGGACCUUUUCCUCAGAUCCCAGUCAAUGCCUUCUCCUUUUAAUUUGCUCUACUUUCUACCUUACACUUAUUUAUUUCUGCAGCCAUAUUCCCAGGUCAUUCCCUAGCCCUGUUUAAAGGGAUCGGGUUUGCAUCUCCCCUGUGCAGGAUGUCUCCAAAGUCAGCAGCUCGUUCUUUGGAUAAAAUGCAGUCCUUAUAUCUCUGCAGACCUUUUCCCUUGCCAGAAGAUCAUCCCGCUCAGACACUGUUGGCCUGGUCCAGCCUGCUCCCAUCUCCCUGAGACCCUCUGUUCUUGCCAAACUCCAGCCCUUGGUGGGGUCCAUCUCCCCUGAAUGCAGCCCUCUCAGCCAGGUGGACAGGUCCCAGGCAGACCCAGCUGCAACACAGCUCCCUGACCAGCUCUGCACACCCUGCAGGGAACUGACCAGAGCAACUCCUGUCACCUUUUCUGAAUCAGUGGUGUGAAAAGAGAAGCAACGUAUCUUUCAGAAAAAAGUGAAAAUCAUCUACCUCUCAUUAAGGCAUUCUUCAGUUCUGACCUCUGUCAUCUCCUGCUAGUGCUCCCUGGAGAAUAGAUGGUCACAAAAGUGAACUGUGUUUCUGGCUGCAUAUAACGUCCGACUCUUGAGUCUGUGAACUGCCCAUACAACCAUUCCUGUUGCUUCAAACAAGUAGUCCAAAAUUGUCGAUAAAUGCAGUAAACAACAGGCUGCUUUCUUUCAGAAGAAGUUAUAUGAAGUUGUCAUCCAUUUGAUGGCUGUAGUUGCACGCAAGAAGGUUAUAAAAGGAUGACCACAGAUUUUCUUCUGUCGAUGGACGGAGGCUCUUCAACCUCCUUUGGUGUUGCAGCCGAUGCAGUCCAGACCUGUCGUCAGGGGAGGUGCACUGUGAUGGCCAGAGGGAAAGGAUCAGCCUCUCACUGAAAUGAUACAGAUGGCAAGUGUUUUCCCAGUGUUUA